AAUUGAAUAGGUAGUAUUCGUAUAACUCCAAAGAUAUGGUUUGGAGGUCUCUACCAGGAACCAUUAAUUCCUGAUUACGAAGAAUGUAC
rnacentral:ncRNA from 1 species